ACGGGGGCAGCAGGCGCGAAACCUCCGCAAUACACGAAAGUGUGACGGGGUUACCCAAAGUGUUCAAUAGAACUGUGGUAGGUGAGUAAUGUUCCCUACUAGAAAGGAGAGGGCAAGGCUGGUGCCAGCCGCCGCGGUAAAACCAGCUCUUCAAGUGGUCGGGAUAAUUAUUGGGCUUAAAGUGUCCGUAGCCGGUUUAGUAAGUUCCUGGUAAAAUCGGGUAGCUUAACUAUCUAUAUGCUAGGAAUACUACUAUACUAGAGGGCGGGAGAGGUCUGAGGUACUGCAGGGGUAGGGGUGAAAUCUUAUAAUCCUUGUUGGACCACCAGUGGCGAAGGCGUCAGACUGGAACGCGCCUGACGGUGAGGGACGAAAGCCAGGGGAGCGAACCGGAUUAGAUACCCGGGUAGUCCUGGCCGUAAACGAUGCAUACUAGGUGAUGGCACGGCCAUGAGCCGUGUCAGUGCCGUAGGGAAAC
rnacentral:rRNA from 1 species